AACCAUAGAAACCUGCGGAGUACCUGCGGAGGGAUCAUUAUAGUAUAUGGAAUCUCCAUUCUAUAAACCCGCUCUGCGUAUCUUGUAACUGUUGCUUCCAUGGGACUUGGUUCCGCCACACCGGCUUCACGGCUGGUGAGCGCCCAUGGAAGGAGAAACAAAACUCUUCUUUGAAAUGUAGUCAGUCUGAACAAGUUUUUAUAAACGUUAAAACUUUUAACAAUGGAUCUCAGAUCGGAA
rnacentral:misc_RNA from 1 species